rnacentral:rRNA from 1 species
UACGUAGGGGGCAAGCGUUGUCCGGAAUUAUUGGGCGUAAAGAGCUCGUAGGCGGUUUGUCGCGUCUGCUGUGAAAACCCGAGGCUCAACUUCGGGCCUGCAGUGGGUACGGGCAGACUAGAGUGCGGUAGGGGAGAUUGGAAUUCCUGGUGUAGCGGUGGAAUGCGCAGAUAUCAGGAGGAACACCAAUGGCGAAGGCAGAUCUCUGGGCCGUAACUGACGCUGAGGAGCGAAAGCAUGGGGAGCGAACAGG